UUGUUUGUUUAUUUCCUAAAUUUAAAUCAUGAAAUUAAUUAUAUAUUGAAGCUAAUUACAAUAUUAUUUGUUUGACAGAAAUUUAAGUUGCGUCAUGCAUGCAUGAUUCAUGCAUGUGCCCAGCGUAUGAACAAAAAAGAAAUGAUUUCUGGUCUCAACAUACUCCAUCAUAAUUACAAUAUUAGUAGUAUUUCUUUAUGGCUUUGACGAAAAUGACAAACUCUUCUUUCCUUCCUUUAAGCCCUCGAAGGGAUAAAUGAACGUAUGGAGGUACAAAGCUGGAACUAAGAAGAGUUUCUCUUGCAUUUAUGAUCCAGGAUCGAUCUAAGACACUCAACCUUAAAAAAAAAAAAGAGGCGGUGGCCUGCUGGUUGAUCAGAUAAGAACACCCACUCACCGUUGUUGUCAACAAAUAACAAGUGUCCAUGGUUCUCAUUCGUCAGGAUUUUGAUGAAGGAAUUCAUAGCCCCACUUGGAUUGUGAUGUGCUUACAAUUUGCUCGGAAGGGGAUAUGAUUUUUCUUCUUUUUCAAUUUCUCACUCUUUUCAUUUUUUAACAAGGUUUUAUCAAUGAAAACGUGGCAUAUUGCAGUUGCAGAUCAUGUCCGAAUAAGUCAAGAUCCAAACCAGAAAAGAAAAGAAAAGAAAAGAAAGGGAAUUAAAAUCGUACUGGCAUUACAUAAGUUGGAAUGAAAGGAUAUUCCGUAGGGAAUUGAAAAUUCUCAAAAUAUAUUAGUUGUUAAAAUUAAUUUCAUUCAAAUUUUGGUUAAAAACAAAAGUCAAAAUAGAGACCACACAAAAACGACAAAACAACCUUGCAAUUAACAAACGACACUGUUAUGAAAAUUAAUCCUUUAAAUGUAUGGUUCUUUCCCCUGCUCGGCUUGGUGCUGAUGUGGUUGUCCAUAGUAUCUCCAAGUUUAUCAGCGGUGGGAGCGAUGUUAUUGCAGGUUGGUUUGUAGUAUGUGUCUCAUUUACGGUACACGCGUCAGACAUUAAUCUCAUUUUUUUACGCUGGAAAAACAGCCAUCGAUGACAUGUGUUUUCAGAGUUUUGGUGAAAACUGCCCACUUCCAAAGAAAAACCGAAAAUACUAUGAAUUGAGGAUUCAGAAUCAUAAAAUAAAAUGGGUAAGGAAUAUAGUCAUGCACGUUCCAAAAGUUCGGAUUCAUUAAAGGCAAACGAUCGAAUAUGAUUCUGGUGCUGUUUAUGGUCCUGCAAGCCUGGUGAACUCCAUGAUGGACCUUCAUCAAGGUGCUCUGAUGCUCCUAGGCCAGACCAUGAACUCCAUGGUUGCCUUUGAGCCCUCUGAAAAGGAUCCCUCACUUGGGCCUUAAAUGAAGGAGCACAGUGGCAGAACCAUGGAUUAUGCCACUAGAAUGAAGAAACUGGGCCUCAGGGUGAUCUACCUGGGCCUUGAGGAUCAACCUCAAGACGAGCUAUUGAAGUCCAUGGCCAACAAGGAAUAUGGGUUUGGUGAUCUCCUUUGACAUGGAAUCUGAAGAAAGGGCUAACAGGCCGAUGCACCACUUUCAGAACUACAGUCAAUUUGGGUUCACAGCGAUUAGCUCGGGUUACUAUGAGACUCUGAUGUCUUGCUCUUGUAGUAGUACCAGCAAGGAAUUGACUGAUGAAGAGAAGGCACUUACCGGUAUUUCGCCAGGGCUGGUGAGGAUGCCCAUUGGAUACAUUGGGACACUGCAGAAGAAGUGGAGUCCAUUAGAAAAGGCGCUCUCUAUUAUGCACGAUUCCACCUUAUUCAAUAAAAACUAAAGUUCUUUCAUCUCGUGUUCAAUAAUGGGUUGGUCGUAGUUCAUGUAAUGAAGGUUUCAUUUGUUCUAUUUCAGUUGUUAAUGUAAGUCAUAGAGAUAAUAUAGAUGGUUAAAAAAAAAAAAAAGAAAAGAACUAUAUAUAUGUAGAAGUGUGGA